AGAGUUUGAUCCUGGCUCAGGAUGAACGCUAGCGACAGGCUUAACACAUGCAAGUCGAGGGGCAGCGGGGGCGUAGCAAUAUGCCUGCCGGCGACCGGCGCACGGGCGAGUAACACGUAUGUAACCUGCCCUAUGCAGGGGGAUAACCCGGAGAAAUCCGGCCUAAUACCGCGUAACACCUUUGGGGAGCAUUCCCUUGGGGUUAAAGGAGAGAUCCGGCAUAGGAUGGACAUGCGUCGCAUUAGGUAGACGGCGGGGUAACGGCCCACCGUGCCGACGAUGCGUAGGGGUUCUGAGAGGAAGGCCCCCCACACUGGUACUGAGACACGGACCAGACUCCUACGGGAGGCAGCAGUGAGGAAUAUUGGUCAAUGGCCGAGAGGCUGAACCAGCCAAGUCGCAUGAGGGAAGAAUGUCCUAAGGAUUGUAAACCUCUUUUGUCGGGGAGCAAAAAGGCUCUGCGGAGUCGUAUUGAGAGUACCCGAAGAAAAAGCAUCGGCUAACUCCGUGCCAGCAGCCGCGGUAAUACGGAGGAUGCGAGCGUUAUCCGGAUUUAUUGGGUUUAAAGGGUGCGCAGGCGGCGUGUCAAGCAAGCGGUAAAAUAGCGGGGCUCAACCCCGUCGAGCCGUUUGAACUGGCGCGCUUGAGUUCAGGCGAGGUAGGCGGAAUUCGUGGUGUAGCGGUGAAAUGCAUAGAUAUCACGAAGAACUCCGAUUGCGAAGGCAGCUUACCAGUCUGCGACUGACGCUCAGGCACGAAAGUGUGGGUAUCGAACAGGAUUAGAUACCCUGGUAGUCCACACAGUAAACGAUGAGCGCUAGGUGUCCGGGUCGAAUGAGGCUUGGGUGCCCGAGCGAAAGCGUUAAGCGCUCCACCUGGGGAGUACGCCGGCAACGGUGAAACUCAAAGGAAUUGACGGGGGCCCGCACAAGCGGAGGAACAUGUGGUUUAAUUCGAUGAUACGCGAGGAACCUUACCCGGGCUCAAACGACUCAGGAAUAUAUUGGAAACGAUGUAGCCAGCAAUGGUCUGAGUCGAGGUGCUGCAUGGUUGUCGUCAGCUCGUGCCGUGAGGUGUCGGCUUAAGUGCCAUAACGAGCGCAACCCCUACCGCCAGUUGCCAACGGGUAAAGCCGGGAACUCUGGCGGGACUGCCGGCGCAAGCUGCGAGGAAGGCGGGGAUGACGUCAAAUCAGCACGGCCCUUACGUCCGGGGCGACACACGUGUUACAAUGGCAGGUACAGCGGGAAGCCACCUGGUGACAGGGAGCGGAACCCGAAAGCCUGUCUCAGUUCGGAUUGGAGUCUGCAACUCGACUCCAUGAAGCUGGAUUCGCUAGUAAUCGCGCAUCAGCCAUGGCGCGGUGAAUACGUUCCCGGGCCUUGCACACACCGCCCGUCA
rnacentral:rRNA from 1 species